CAAAGAAAAAAAAAUGGAACUAUGGAGCAUACUUAUUUGAUUGUCAAAGUAAAAAACAAAUGUAUAUACUUCGCACGACGGAUGGGCCACUACUAACGUAGAAGUAGGUAACUUUAGGCAAAAAUGUCGUUUUUGUUUCGAGUUGUUAGUACAACUGUAGUAAACACUUUAUAAUAACGUUUUACAAGAAUUUACAUAUUUUUUUCUUAUUUAACAACAAUUGACACGAAUAACGUCGAAAACUUUAAGGUAAGUUUAAUUUUUAAGUACAUGAAAAAAUCACAAAUUAUCUUUCUGUUUUAAAUAUUUAUUUACUCAUAUAAGUUAUAAUUUGACAAAAACAUGUUUUUCUUUUCUGUAGUAUGAAACAGUAUACGAAAAAUCAUAAUCGCAUUAAAUGCACUUGAGUUAUAAACGAUUUUAUGAUUUGGGUGCAUCUUGGGGCA